CGAGAUCCACCGGCCGCAACUUGCGGCUACAGACGGGAAAGACCAAGAAAAGAAGAGACAACUUCCAUGAUGCUCCAGCGACAAGAACUGGCAGACAGCUGCCUUGCAGCGGGGGCAACUCGUCAAAAACAGACUACAGAACUCUCCACUGAUCACUUGCAUGAUGCCCCAGCGACAACAAAUAUGAAAGUGGAGGGACAGUAGUUCACUAACAGGAAAUGACAGCACAAUAUAGAAUCGAUUGAAUUUUUUGCCACUACUGUACAUCUGGUGGUACUACAUACAAGCAGAAGCAGAAAAUACAAUUAUGCUAUUUACAUUUUCCUUUUGACGAGUAUGCUAUGUAGAAACAGGACUACCAGGGCAUAUGCUAGUCAACCAAACUUUAUAUUGUGAGCAGUGGAGAAAUGUUUCACCGCCUCA
rnacentral:lncRNA from 1 species